rnacentral:sRNA from 2 species
GUGCAGUCGAAUUUUUUCUGACUACGCCCUUGCAAAAAAAUCUAAAAAUUACGGCGCAGCCACGGUUUCCCUGGUGUUGGCGCAGUAUUCGCGCACCCCGGUUAAUCC